UACGUAGGUGGCAAGCGUUAUCCGGAAUUAUUGGGCGUAAAGCGCGCGCAGGCGGUCCUUUAAGUCUGAUGUGAAAGCCCACGGCUCAACCGUGGAGGGUCAUUGGAAACUGGGGGACUUGAGUACAGAAGAGGAAAGCGGAAUUCCACGUGUAGCGGUGAAAUGCGUAGAGAUGUGGAGGAACACCAGUGGCGAAGGCGGCUUUCUGGUCUGUAACUGACGCUGAGGCGCGAAAGCGUGGGGAGCAAACAGG
rnacentral:rRNA from 1 species